GGGUCCGCACAAGCGGUGGAGCAUGUGGUUUAAUUCGAUGAUACGCGAGGAACCUUACCAGGACUUAAAUGUAAGUUGCAUGAUUCAGAAAUGAAUCUUUCUUCGGACUACUUACAAGGUGCUGCAUGGUUGUCGUCAGCUCGUGCCGUGAGGUGUCAGGUUAAGUCCUAUAACGCAGCGCAACCCCUAUCGUUAGUUGCCAUCAAGUAAAGUUGGGAACUCUAGCGAAACUGCCGGUGCAAACCGAGAGGAAGGUGGGGAUGACGUCAAAUCAUCACGGCCCUUACGUUCUGGGCUACACACGUGCUACAAUGGUCGGUACAGAAAGCAGCCACUACGCGAGUAGGCGCG
rnacentral:rRNA from 1 species